CCGGCCGGCGCACGGUGAGUAACACGAUGCAAUCCACCUGUAACAAGGGGGGAGUAACCCGGAGAAAUCCGACUAAUACCCCAUAAUAUGGGCUCUCCGCAUGGAGGGUCCAUUAAAGAGAGCAAUUUUUGGUUACAGACGAGCAUGCGCUCCAUUAGCCAGUUGGCGGGGUAACGGCCCACCAAAGCGACGAUGGAUAGGGGUUCUGAGAGGAAGGUCCCCCACAUUGGAACUGAGACACGGUCCAA
rnacentral:rRNA from 1 species